UACGGGGGGGGGCAAGCGUUGUUCGGAAUUACUGGGCGUAAAGGGCGCGUAGGCGGUUUGUCGCGUCUGCUGUGAAAACUCGGGGCUUAACCCCGGGCCUGCAGUGGGUACGGGCAGACUAGAGUGCGGUAGGGGAGACUGGAAUUCCUGGUGUAGCGGUGAAAUGCGCAGAUAUCAGGAGGAACACCAGUGGCGAAGGCGGCGACCUGGGCCAAUAUUGACGCUGAGGUGCGAAAGCGUGGGGAGCAAACAGG
rnacentral:rRNA from 1 species